GUCCCCGGGUAGCAGCACGUCAACGUCGCCUCCCGACGCACUUCCUCAGCGUUGCGCGACCCCAGCCGCCGCGCAUCUGUGGAAAGAUUAGUCAUAAGAAAAUCUAUCCACGCCCAGGCCAAGUAAGUCAUGUACAACGUUUACGCGCAAGUAAGCAAAAGCGACCCGGAGCUGGGUAUCACAGACGCAUGUCGGAAAGUGAGCGCGAGCUGGCUGGGGUUGGCGAACGCAAUGUGUGCCGGAUUAAGCGCGUCGUAGUGUUUGGCACCUCGAAGUCACCGAAGCGCAAACCACCGCGUCUCCCAGACACACACAGCAAUGCCAAAAGCGGAUGAACAAGACUACUGCACGACACUUUCUCUCGAGCUGCCCUACGAAGAAAAGUGCACCAGUAUUUCCCGCGAAAUGAAAUUCUAACAGCCGCAAAACUUGCUCGAGAUUUCACCAUGAUGACAUGGAAAUGCCUAAAAUGUGUGUACGUACAAUGCAAAGGCUGCUCAACGACACUGGGUUUUCUUUUCGCAAACGGAAGAGAAACUGCUCUCCUAGAGAGAAACGUCAUCAUCAUGUGGCGGCGGCAGUACCUGUGCACCAUCCGAGAACUUCGCACACAAAAGCGGUCGCUCGAAGUUUUGAGGCCACGCCGGCGUGCACUUGGGCCACGUCGCAGAUCGCUUUCAAGAAGCACGAGCGCCGGCACAGUUAUUACCUAGACGACACUUGGGUCAACGCUGAACAUACCAAGGGAAAGGUCGGGGAGGACGUGAACGUUGUUACGCGCGAGGAUGUAUUUCGGGAACGUCUGACAACAGGCCUUCGCGCACCAUGCGGCAAAGGUGGCAGGCUGAUCCUAUUGCACGCCGGUAGCGAGGAUGGCUUCGUAAAUGGCGCUUGUCUCGUUUUCAGAGCAGCGAAAUCAGCUGGUGACCACCACAAAGAAGUGGAUGGGCCACGGCUCGAUAAGUGGUUCUCUGAGCAGCUUCAACCAAACAUCAAACAACGCACAGUUAUAGUAAUGGACAAUUCAACCUACCACAGUGUUCACCGCGAGAAAGUACCGACAGUAUCAACAAGAAAGUUUGAAAUUAGGUCUUGGCUAACCGAAAAAGUCAUCGCGUUUUCUCACGGUCAAUAAAAGCCAGAGUUGCUGG